AAAGAAUUAAUGGCAUAUCUCAUAGUUCUUUUAUUUGCUGGCUGAUUCAUUCCAGAGUGGUUUUGAGGACAGAAUGAAGCAAGAUGAAAAACAGCACUUUGAAAAUGGAGUGUGUGGUAUUCAUCUUAGACACACUUUUAGAGAAGAAAUGUGUCUCAGAAAAAGGACCUCUUCUGACUCAAAUUUAGCUUACAUCCCUUUCUCGUCCAUAUCCCAGGUGAUAAAACAUGACACCCAGGUAAGCAGUGGCCUUGUGGACUCUGAAGAAGUUCUCAACAUGUCCACAGUACAUUCUCAUUUUGUCUGGCUCUAAACUACUGUCUCAAGAAAGCUGCAAAUAUUUGAACGUAACAAUAAAGUGUUAACAGUAA
rnacentral:antisense_RNA from 1 species